rnacentral:lncRNA from 1 species
UUUUUUUUUUUUUUUUUUUUGCUGUAGUUGUAGCCAAAGGGGGAGGCAGCACUGGAUGGAGUGACUGCAGUCAUAGGUGACCUGAAUCUGAUUUGGGCACUGUGAUUUAAAGAAAAGGCGUUUGCUUUCUCUAGGCCAAGUUUGUCUUAUGUAGCUGAGGCUAAUCCAGCCCUGAGUGUUGCUCCUACUCUGAUUUAUCUGCUGGCUUGUUAGGCUGCACUUUUGGAACUUUAUAAGAUCGUGUAAUUGCAAAAUUAAUGUGUAGCUUUAAAAGAGAACUAGCAGUUUUUCCAUUUCCCUCUGUACAUUUAAUACGAACAAUGAAACAUACUUUGUAAAAUCCUCUUGAAAUCUGGAAGUGCAAGGACUCCAGAGCAAAAAUCAGGAAUCCUGAGCUCUCAACCUAAUCUGCUUAAGCUUUGGUAAGGGGCCUCGCUCCACGCUCAGCUCUCUAAACUCAUCAGUUGAGAUUCAAAGAGCUGAAUUCUAUCACUUGUUGUCUCUUCAAGCACACAAGGCUACAAAAGUCAGUAGCAAUUAAUUCAUUCCUUUCUGUUUUCCUUCCUCUUCACCUGUCUCUUCAUAGGCUGUUGGCACAGACCUGAAAUGGAUGAUAAUUUACUUUCUUGCAAUUUUCCUAGAAUGCUGUUGAAUUUUAAAAAGUUCUUUCUCAAAUCUGGACUUUACACAUGCCAGUGGUUAAGAGUAUUCACUACCCUGAUCUAUACAUUGUAAGGACCCAACGGGUGCCAAUAGUCAGAGUGUAGGGCCUUGAGAACAGAAGUUUUUAAGCAACUAUUGAGAAAAUACAACUAUUUUCUGACUGUAGAAUAUAUUUGUAAUUUAUCUUAUGAAAUAUUUUUAAAUACAGUGAAAUAUAUACAAAGUGCAAGUAUCUCAAACCUACUGUUGAGGAAAUAUUUUACAUAGGAAUCAGAUUCUUAACCAGUUUUUAACAGCAUAAAUUCAGGAUAUUCAGUUAUUGUUUGUCUGCUUUUGUUUUCUGUCUGUUCUCUGUGCUGCCUUCUCUUCUCUUGUCCUAGUGUCUACUUGCUCUGGCAGCUGUAGGUGGCCAACCUAGGCCUCCUGAGACUGGUUAGAGCCAAGACCUUAAAGAAGCACAGAUGAGUCUGGAACUUGAGGGGACAUGUAACACAGAAGUUCAUGGAGAGAGAGAGAGAGAGAGAGACAGAGACAGAGACAGAGAGAGACAGACAGAGACCGCCCUUCCCAACAGUGUUUGCAGAAGUGGAGGACCAGCAAUGCCUGAGUCUCUUUAUCCUGGGUUCUAUUUUUAUUGGUGCAUAAAAAUAGAAAUUGAGCUUAAAUUUUGUCUCUUAUUCUGACAUGGUUAAGGACACUUAAUAAUAGUACUUCUCUUAUAUUAGACUUACUGUUCUUCAAAACUAAUACUCAAGAAAGCAAAAUCAGUGGAACAAGACCAGUAAGGUAAAACUCGCUGGCCAUUGUUUAACCUUGGCCCUUCUUCUCCACUCCUUUUAAAUGGCUAGGAGCUCCCAGUCUUGGAGUUGGUAUGGCCACCUGCUCAAUGCUCAUGAGGUUUUAGGCACCAAGCACUUUAGCUCACUUUGACCUCUUCCAUAUAGAAUUUAAAAUUACAUUUUAUAAUUGUGUUUGUAUAACAUGACAGUAUUCACAUUUUGGAUUAAAAUAUUCCUUUAAUCUAAAACUUGGAUUAUUUUUCCUAAUAAAAUUAAGUAAAAUGUUUGUUAUACACCCUUCAAAAUUCUGAGAAUUUGAGACUGUACCUGAUGAAUGGUUUAUGUUCUGAGAGGGUUGUUGGAAAAAUGCAGACCGUGUUCUCCAUCCCUUACCACCACUCAGGUGUUUGUUUCACUCCAGCCAGGAGCACUGCAGGUCCUCCUGUCACAAGCCUGGACAUCUGAACUUCGUCCUUCCCAUCCUAGCCAGAACUCAGUAUGGCUUAGAUCAUCCAUGGGAGGCGGAGGUGCAGUAGUUAGAAAUCAGUAGAUAGGAAUUUUAUUUAGGUUCCUACUUUUACAGCUUGUGCGCCACCUCACAGGGUGAGGUGCCUUUUUUCCCUUUACUGUCAAACCCUCAUAUUCAUCUAUUCAUCCAUUCUCACAGCUCAUAGGUACAAGAGCUUUAUAUCAUUCAUUGAAAGUAAUUAAACAGACCCAUUCAGAAAAUGCCUGCAGUCAUUUAUUGUUUAGCAUUGGUCCAGGCUUCUCCACAGAAUGUUCCUCUCGGGCUAGGUGAGGUUGGUAGCAUGCAGACUGGAAGCACCGUUAGCCUCUUCGUUUCUAAGGACAGAGAAAGUGGCAGCCCCGGCAUUCCAGCCUAAGCUGUCCUACUGCUCUUUAGUUUACCUUUUCCCAUGUACAUUGCUGAGUCCUGACGGAAGGAAGGCGCUAGAGAAGCCAACAAAGCCUGUGCACGCCUCCACUCUGUCUCUGCUCUGUGCCAACUGAAGACACCCAAUUGGCCACCUGCUUGUGGACACACUUGAAGUUCACCGGCAGACAUCCUAUGUUGGUUUCUCAGCAGGAGAGGUGGCCACCCAAAUUUCCCUUUUCUACUUACCAGCAAGGCACUUAAUCUGGUGUCACGUGACACUCAUAGAGAAAAGCACCUGCACAGAAGCACAAGAAGAGCACACACAUUCUGUUGUGUUAGCAUUAACAAACUUAACGAACAAACUUUAUCUCUAGAGCUUCAUCUCUAGUUUUGUAUUUAGCUCUUAGAACAAUAUAUCUUAUAAUGUAUCCAGAAAAAUCAGAAUAAUGUAAUAUCCUUCGAUUAUUAUUUCCUGACCUUUCUGAAAAAGUUUCAUGCAUGCUUUCAUUUCCUGUAACUUUGUUUUCUGAUAUCUCUUCUACCUUACUCCCUUAUUGCCCCGACCAAAUCAGGAGGAAAUAAAAGCAUCCAAGAGGAACUUAAAAGGUUCUAAAUGAAACUAAACUUUAAAGCCGAAAUUAAUUCGCAGCAUCUGUGUAGCUUUUAUUUUUGUCCUUUGCUGUUUCUGUCAUAUAUUCAUGUGAGUUCCAGGGAAAAUAACCUGCUUUGUUGUGUCUGAGGGUUCCUAGUAGCUUAUCAGGAAUUCAAUAAAUUCAUAUUUCCGGUGUUAUAUGUUAUCAAAAAAUUGAGGCCUGUGUGGUGGUGCACACCUUUAAUCCCAGAACUCAGAAGCAGAGUCAGGGAGCUCUCCAGUGCUCAAGGUUAGCCUGGAACAGGAGGACUACAUAGUAAGACCCUGUCAUUUAAAAAUAAAACAAAACAAAC